CCCCUCCCCCCGCCCCGCCUCGCGCCUUCCCGCUGCCUCGGCGUCCGCGAGUGGCUUUUGGGGGUCCCUCGCCCUCUGUGAGGGUGGUGGGCGCGCAUUUCUCCCCUACCCCCCUCCAACGACGCCCCCCGCCCAGCCUGUGGAGCCCUCGAUGCGCGGUCCUCACGCCUCCAUUCCCAAACCCCGCCGCACAGACGAACGCGCAGCCCCGCGGGGGUGUACAGGGGGUCGUGCGGGGGGGGGGUCUUCUGUGAGGGAGGGCUGCACCCCAGUGUGCUGACGCGCGAAGCCAGGAGGAAAAAUUAUUUCCCCUGGAGCCCGCGUUCAUUCAGCCUGCUCUCGCCUCUGCGCAAUUGCUUUCUCUGUUCACUGGACGGCGGCUGAAGAGCCCCAAGCGUGAACUCGGCCUGGGCAGUGGUGGCUCGGAAACCCUUGGCCUUUUGCAUGAAGGGGGUAGGGUGGGGGCAGGGCGCGGACAAAACCAAACAAACCCGGGAGCUCCGGGCCCAAGCCGACUUUUGCACCUCCCGGAGGAGCACGCCCUCCGGCCCCGGGCCCCGGCUCGUCGGUAGCCUCCCGGGACCACGGGGACGGCUCCACCCCAGGGCAGCCGCGUCCAGCUGGCCCUGGGCCUUGACGGGUGCUGCGGGGAAAAGGUUCUUGAGAGAUGCUGCGGCCCGGUAGAGAGAUUUAGCUCCACUUUUCACAGCUGGAGGCUUUUGUUAUUAGAGAUGCGGCUCCAUUUUUAAAACUAAUUGUUGCCACAGAUAGGCGACUACAUCUCUGGAAGCAGCAGCUCCAUGCUGGAUGUGGUGGAAGAAUCGAGGUAAGGAAAGGCUGAUGUAUUUUGAGUGCCUUUAGUGCAGUACAGCCCGGGGGAGCUCCCCGUGUGCGUGGGAGUGGGGAGAGGGAAUGGACUGGAAGUUUGGAAUCACCGGAAAAUAACAAGGCAUAGCUAAGCUGUGACUAGCAAGAUAAACGAUUUGUUCGAGGUUUGAUUGUCCUUUCCCUCCUCCACUCGGAAGACAUAGUUGUCUUUUUUUAAAUCAUGUUUUGUACCGAAAUAUUUUUAUUUUAUAAUUGAAUCCCUGUUGUUGGGCCUUUAAAAACCCAUAGAAACAUUGUUAUGUGCCACGAAGGUGGGAAACACGGCUUUCUCAGUCAUUGCUGUACUCCCACAAUUCUGGGUCAUGCACACAAUACAGGUUUAGUAAAUAAAAUCCGUAUGUUUUUGGCCCCA
rnacentral:lncRNA from 1 species